rnacentral:rRNA from 1 species
AGGGCUAGUAAAGGAUUCCUUGGAAAUGAAAGGCGAAGAAGGACGUGCAAAUCUGCGAAAAGCGCCGGGGAGUUGAUAGGAAACAAUAAUCCGGCGAUCUCCGAAUGUAGAAAUACAGUAGAAACUAAUCUUUCUACUAUUACUACAUGAAUCAAAUAGUGUAGUAAGGCGAACUUGGCGAAGUGAAACAUCUCAGUAGUCAAAGGAAAAGAAAACGAAGUGAUUCCCUCAGUAGUGGUGAGCGGAAGGGGAAGAGGCUAAACCAGAAUGCUUAGAAGGUAAUUCUGGGGUUGUAGGACCUCACAAGGUAUCUCUAACUAUAGUAGAAAUUUAUUGGAAAAUAAUGCCAAAGAGGGUGAAAGCCCCGUAUAUAAAAUGGAAAGAGGGCCAGAGGUAUCCUGAGUAAGGCGGGACAUGUGAACCCUGUCUGAAUCCGCCCGGACCAUCGGGUAAGCCUAAAUACUAAUCAUUUACCGAUAGUGAACAAGUACUGUGAAGGAAAGGUGAAAAGAACCCAGGUAUGGGAGUGAAAUAGAUCAUGAAAUUACUAGCCUACAAAGUGUCAAAGCACAUUUAUGUGUGAUGGCGUGCGUUUUGAAGUAUGAGCCGGAGAGUUAUUGUAGCCUGCAAAGUUAAACCUGGAAGGUGGAGCUGAAGCGAAAGCGAGUCUUAAUAGGGCGUCUAGUAAGCUACAAUAGACCCGAAAGGGGACGAGCUAGCCAUGAGCAGGUUGAAGUUUGAAUAAAAUCCGAUGAAGGACCGAACCGACUGUCGUUGAAAUGAUAGCGGAUGACUUGUGGCUAGAGGUGAAAUUCCAAUCGAGUUCCCUGAUAGCUGGUUUUUGUCGAUAUAGUUUUAGGACUAGCGUCAGGCAAUUAAGGGGAGGCGGUAAAGCACUAAAUCUAUGAGGGCAUUUCGCGAUGUACCAAAUAGAAUUAAACUUUGAAUUCCUCUCCGGUUAUCCUGGCAGUGAGACUAUUUGGGAUAAGCUUUAUAGUCGUGAGGGGAAGAGCCCAGAUCAACAGCUAAGGUCCCUAAAUUAAGCUAAGUGGGAAAGGAGGUCAAAAUUCACAGACAACUAGGAUGUUGGCUUAGAAGCAGCCAUCAUUUAAAGAGUGCGUAACAGCUCACUAGUCUAGUUUUUUGGCGCCGCAAGUAUAACGGGGCUAAGCUUAAUACCGAAGCUUUGAAUUCUAAUCUAAAAGAUGAGAAUGGUAGACAAAUGUUAUAUGGGGUUUGAAGUAUAAGCGAGAGCAUAUAUGGACUCUAUAUAAGUAAGAAUUCCGGCGUGAGUAACGAAUGAAAGUGAGAAUCUUUUUAGCCAAUUGAUCAAGGUUUCCGGGGCUAGGUUCGUCCUCCUCGGGUAAGUCGAUCCUAAGGCGAGGUUGAAAAACGUAGUUGAUGGACAACAGGUUAAUAUUCCUGUACUACCUUGAAUAUUCGACGGGUGGACAAAAUAGGGUAAGGUAGGGGGAUUACUGGAUUUCCCCUCAAAGCUUCGAGCAGGCUAGAGAUGAAAAUCACUCUAGCGCAAAACUGUAAGGGCUGAGUACGAUUUCCGCCAGAAAUGACGGAAAAAGCUAUACUUGCUCACAUUUUCCAGAAAACACUCUAAGAGUUAUAUUCAAGGUAAUCGUACCGAUAACGAACACACGUGAUCAAGGAGAAUAUCCUAAGGCUAGCGAGCUAACUACAGUUAAGGAACUCUGCAAAUUAACUCUGUAACCUAGGGAGAAAGAGUGCCCGCGAUGGAAUCGUGGGUCACAGUAAAGAAUGAGGGCGGACUGUUUAACAAAAACACAGCUAUAUGCAAAAUUCAAACAUGAAGUAUAUGUGGCGACACCUGCCCGGUGCCAGAAGGUCAAAGAAAGAUGUCAAAGAUAAGUGAAACUUAUCCCCAGCUUCUAACUUAAGCCCUGGUGAACGGCGGCCGUAACUAUAACGGUCCUAAGGUAGCGAAAUUCCUUGUCAGGUAAAUUCUGUCCCGCUUGAAUGGUGUAACCAGCUCUUGACUGUCUCGACUGUAGGCUCGGUGAAAUCCUGGUGAGAGUGAAGACACUCUCUUGCCGCUAUGGGACGGAAAGACCCUAUGAAGCUUUACUGUAACUUGAUAUUGUGAAGAUCUAUUGAUAUUAAAGAAUAUGUGGGAGGCUGGGAAGAUGAUGCGCUAGUGUCGUUGGAGCCAACAGUGGAAUACCACAAUUUCACUAGAUUUUUACUUACAUAUCUCCAUCUAUCUGGAGUAUGGACAGUGUUAGGUGGGCAGUUUGACUGGGGCGGUUGCCUCCUAAAAUGUAACGGAGGCGUGCAAAGGUACACUUAGUACGUAUGGAAAUCGUACAGAAAGGGUAAUACUAUAUGUGUGCUUGAUUGUGAGACAGACAAGUCGACCAAGUAAGAAAUUAGGCUAUAGUGAUCCGGUGGUUCUGAAUGGAAGGGCCAUCGCUCAACGGAUAAAAGCUACUCUAGGGAUAACAGGGUAAUAAUCUCCAAGAGUUCAUAUCGACGAGAUUGUUUGCUACCUCGAUGUCGACUCAUCUUAUCCUGGGGGUGAAGCAGCUCCCAAGGGUUCGGCUGUUCGCCGAUUAAAAAGAUACGUGAGUUGGGUUCAAACCGUCGUGAGACAGGUUGGUCCCUAUCUGUAGUGGCUGAAGGAAAAUUGAGGGGAUUCGUUCCUAGUACGAGAGGACCGGAAUGAACAUACCGCUGUUGUAUCAGUUGUCUCGCCAGAGGCAUUGCUGAAUAGAUAAGUAUGGAUUAGAUAAACGCUGAAAGCAUCUAAGUGUGAAACUAACCUCAAGAGAAUUUUCCCAUCCCGGGGCAUUCCCCGGGUAUAAACAUGGUGGGAGACUACCACUUUGAUAGGCUACAUGUGUAAGUGCAGUAAUGCAUUAAGCUAAGUAGUACUAAACAUGUGAAAGAUUUAAC